CACAUCCUUCCAUUCUUUUCAUUCUUUUGGAUACUCAAUGCUUUAAUAAGUGUGAACCUAAUCCACUCCAUCACAAGUAUAAACCUGAAUAUGUCACAGCUUGAAAAUGGUGACAACUAUUGUUAUUUUUCGCUAGAAAGUCAGAAAACAAAGUGGCUUGUUCUCCCUCUCAUGGUCCUGAGAGAUGCAGUGUUUCAGGGAGCCAUGGGAGGGGCCAGUGGCUACAUGGUAUCUCUUCUCCACAAGCACCACCAGCAUGUCCUCUACCUUCAGAAGGCCAAGCUUCUCUACAGAACUCCCCCUGAGCUGAGAGCUGCCCAGAGUGUCCUCCUUCUCAUGCUCUGUUUUGUUUUUUUCUAUUGGACUGACUGUGCUUUAUCUCUAUUUUUAAGUCUCUCUUCAGACUUAUCUCAAAACGAUUCUGAGAUAAUGAUUAUUCAAAAAUUCCUGGUCCAUGGUUAUGCAGUCUUCAGCCCCCUUGUGCUGAUUCACAGGGAUGGACUUCCGGCUGAGUGUUGGCAUGCUCAGUGGAAGAAAUUGA